CAGAAGCUACUAAUUAAUAUUACGCAGGAUGAAGUCUAAAUUCAUAGCAAUAAAAGCAAAGUUAGAUGUUAUUUUCCUGCGAAACUGUUUGUUUCGAUAUUACGCCGGUCCUGUUUGAUUUUUUUUGCAAACGUCAUCUAUGCAGUGAGUAUAGCUUUAAAUAUUCAUGCGAAAAAAAAUAAAUUCUUAAAGGAGAACGCGCUAGAAUUACAGAUUUGCUCUUAAAGCAUGGUAACAGGCCCUUCCGGCCCAACGAGUCUGCGCCACCCAUUUUAAACCCAAAUUAACCUACCCGUACAUCUUUGGAAUGUGGGAGGAAACCGGAGCACCCGGAGGAAACCCACGCAGACACGGGAGAACGUACAAACUCCUUACAGACAGUGACAGGAAUUGAACCCCGAUCGCUGAUAUUUUGAGAGAAAGAUAAUG